rnacentral:rRNA from 1 species
UACAGAGGUGGCGAGCGUUAUUCGGAAUUAUUGGGCGUAAAGGGCGCGUCGGCGGCCCUGUAAGUCAAAGGUGAAAUCCCUCGGCUUAACCGAGGACGUGCCUUUGAUACUGCGGGGCUCGAGGCCGGGAGAGGGUAGUGGAAUUCCCAGUGUAGCGGUGAAAUGCGUAGAUAUUGGGAGGAACACCAGUGGCGAAGGCGGCUGCCUGGACCGGUUCUGACGCUGAGGCGCGAAAGCGUGGGGAGCAAACAGG